rnacentral:rRNA from 1 species
GUAGGGAAUAUUGCGCAAUGGGGGAAACCCUGACGCAGCGACGCCGCGUGAGUGAUGAAGGCCUUCGGGUCGUAAAGCUCUGUUGCAGGGGAAUAAAAAAAUGAAGGUACCCUGUGAGGAAGGAUCGGCUAACUUCGUGCCAGCAGCCGCGGUAAGACGAGGGAUCCUAGCGUUGCUCGGAAUCAUUGGGCGUAAAGAGGGCGUAGGUGGCUUGGUAAGUCAGGUGUGAAAGCACAGGGCUCAACCCUGGAAGUGCAUUUGAUACUGCUGAGCUUGAGUGUCGGAGAGGUUACCGGAAUACCUGGUGUAGUGGUGAAAUACGUAGAUAUCAGGUGGAACACCGGAGGCGAAGGCGGGUAACUGGACGAACACUGACACUGAGGCCCGAAAGCGUGGGGAUCAAACAGGAUUAGAAACCCCAGUAGUCC